rnacentral:rRNA from 1 species
GACGAACGCCGGCGGCGUGCUUAACACAUGCAAGUCGAACGCUGAAGCUCAGCUUUUGUUGGGUGGAUGAGUGGCGAACGGGUGAGUAACACGUGAGUAACCUGCCCCCUUCUUUGGGAUAACGCCCGGAAACGGGUGCUAAUACUGGAUAUUCACUGGUCUUCGCAUGGGGGUUGGUGGAAAGGGUUUUUCUGGUGGGGGAUGGGCUCGCGGCCUAUCAGCUUGUUGGUGGGGUGAUGGCCUACCAAGGCUUUGACGGGUAGCCGGCCUGAGAGGGUGACCGGUCACAUUGGGACUGAGAUACGGCCCAGACUCCUACGGGAGGCAGCAGUGGGGAAUAUUGCACAAUGGGCGCAAGCCUGAUGCAGCGACGCCGCGUGAGGGAUGGAGGCCUCCGGGUUGUGAACCUCUUUCGCUCAUGGUCAAGCCGCAACAAUGGUUGUGGUGAGGGUAGUGGGUAAAGAAGCGCCGGCUAACUACGUG